rnacentral:rRNA from 1 species
AGUGAACGCUGGCGGUAGGCCUAACACAUGCAAGUCGAACGGCAGCACAGUAAGAGCUUGCUCUUACGGGUGGCGAGUGGCGGACGGGUGAGGAAUACAUCGGAAUCUACUUUUUCGUGGGGGAUAACGUAGGGAAACUUAAGCUAAUACCGCAUACGACCUACGGGUGAAAGCAGGGGAUCUUCGGACCUUGCGCGAAUGAAUGAGCCGAUGUCGGAUUAGCUAGUUGGGGGGGUAAAGGCCCACCAAGGCGGCGAUCCGUAGCUGGUGUGAGAGGAUGAUCAGCCACCCUGGACCUGAGGCAGGGUCCAGACUCCGACGGGAGGCAGCAGUCGGGAAUAUUGGGCAAUGGGCGCAAGCCUGAUCCAGCCAUACCGCGUGGGUGAAGAAGGCCUUCCGGUUGUAAAGCCCUUUUGUUGGGAAAGAAAAGCAGCAGGUUAAUACCCCGCUGUUCUGACGGUACCCGAAUAAUAAGCACCGGCUAACUUCGUG